rnacentral:rRNA from 1 species
UAGGGAAUCUUCCACAAUGGACGCAAGUCUGAUGGAGCAACGCCGCGUGAGUGAAGAAGGCUUUCGGGUCGUAAAACUCUGUUAUUGAAGAAGAACGUGUGUGACAGUAACUGGUCAUGCAGUGACGGUAUUCAAUCAGAAAGUCACGGCUAACUACGUGCCAGCAGCCGCGGUAAUACGUAGGUCCCGAGCGUUGUCCCGGAUUUAUUGGGCG